AAGGGGUGUAUUUAUUAGAUAAAAAGCCAAUGCCCUUCGGGGCUCCUUGGUGAUUCAUAAUAACUUAACGAAUCGCAUGGCCUUGCGCCGGCGAUGGUUCAUUCAAAUUUCUGCCCUAUCAACUUUCGAUGGUAGGAUAGUGGCCUACCAUGGUUUCUACGGGUAACGGGAGAUUAGGGUUUGACUCCGGAGAGGGAGCCUGAGAAACGGCUACCACAUCCAAGGAAGGCAGCAGGCGCGCAAAUUACCCAAUCCCGACACGGGGAGGUAGUGACAAUAAAUACUGAUACAGGGCUCUUUUGGGUCUUGUAAUUGGAAUGAGUACAAUUUAAAUCCCUUAACGAGGAACAAUUGGAGGGCAAGUCUGGUGCCAGCAGCCGCGGUAAUUCCAGCUCCAAUAGCGUAUAUUAAAGUUGUUGCAGUUAAAAAGCUCGUAGUUGAAACUUGGCCUUGGCUGACCGGUCCGCCUCACCGCGUGCACUGGUUCGGCCGGGGCUUUCCUUCUGGGGAUCCGCAUGGCCUUCAUUGGUCGUGCUGGGGAACCAGGACUUUUACUUUGAAAAAAUUAGAGUGUUCAAAGCAGGCCUAUGCUCGAAUACAUUAGCAUGGAAUAAUAGAAUAGGACGUGUGGUUCUAUUUUGUUGGUUUCUAGGACCGCCGUAAUGAUUAAUAGGGAUAGUCGGGGGCAUCAGUAUUCAAUUGUCAGAGGUGAAAUUCUUGGAUUUAUUGAAGACUAACUACUGCGAAAGCAUUUGCCAAGGAUGUUUUCAUUAAUCAGUGAACGAAAGUUAGGGGAUCGAAGACGAUCAGAUACCGUCGUAGUCUUAACCAUAAACUAUGCCGACUGGGGAUCGGACGGUGUUAUUAUUUUGACCCGUUCGGCACCCUACGAGAAAUCAAAGUCUUNUCGCUCAUGUUAGCUUACCCUUGGCCAUUCAAUGUGGCUCACAGAUCAGGCAAAGGCCGGCGGUUCCUUCUGAAUGAUAACCGUUGGAGAUAUGAUCGGCUUCCGGGUUAUAAGCCC
rnacentral:rRNA from 1 species